GAUUCUCCUUUCUCUACUCGGCCUUUAAAUGUUGGGGUUUUCCGAGUCUGGCUCUUUGUCCUCCUCUCUCCCUGAGCCGCGUCAGUGACUCCUGGGACUCCAGAGACAAACUGUGUUCUGCUGACCCCAAAAUUUGAUGUUGUCAGCCCAUUUCCCUUCUCUGAGCUCCAGACCCCUGAAUCUGACAGCCUCUCUGUUAUCGCUUCUUGAACUCACUGAGAUGAAGCAUCUGCCCCCUAGAGGAAUGAGAGCUCAAAAUAGAAAUAAAGUGCUCCUUAUUUGCUUUGGCCUCUCGGCAGCAUUUGCCACUGUUGACCAGUCCCUGCUCCUUGUUUCCUUGCUGAUUUCCUCGUGACAGCAUUUGUAAUUAGUUCUGGGUGGCUCACCAGAUUUCAUCCAAAGUGGUCACUGGAAAUGAUUGAAGCAGCAGUCCCUGAGGGGGACCUGACAGUGGCCACACGGCCUCUUCCUAUGAGAUUUUACGGAACAACCACUGAAGACACCAAAACCGUUAUCAGGGCAUUCUUCUCCUCCCCGCUCCUAACUCCCAUCUCAGAAGGCCUGGACCAGUGAUGGGGGCACAGCACAGGGCCUGGAAUGCACACGCUUCUGAGUUCUCCAUCCGCUUCUCCUCAGUCCGGGGCCCCUGAUCUCCCCUGGAGGUGGGGUGGACUCUUCCAGCCCUGAGAGUUGUCUGCACGUGGUCCUUUCUAUUUCCCACAGGGUCCUGGCUCCAAGUCAGGAGGACUCCUUCUUUCAGCAUGGUCCACCCUUCCCUGGGUUAACAAACAUUUGGUUCAUUGAAUGGGGGGAAAGGCAAUGGAGAAAAGAAAAUCCUGGGGACAAAAGCCACCGGUCAAUAUUCCAAAGUAGCCUCCUGGCACAGUGCUGUGGAUACUGAGAAUCUAGGAAAUGUGGGUGUGAAGACAGCAGAUGAACCAGAACUGCCUGAUGUCCUUAGUAGAUAAAUAGGCGUAGCAGACAGAAAAAAAUCAUUUUGCCAGAGAGGAGAAAAACAAGUGUUGUUUCAUCUUCAACAUUACACAGAGGAAUUUCUGGGGGAAAAUGUGAAGAUUUUGUGACUGUUGAAUAGCAAAGAGUAUGAGCCAUUUGUAAAUAUUAAGAAAAAUAAAACAUGUAUUUGUGCCUAAACGUAGCUAGCAAGAAAGUUAAUAAUCACCCACAUAUCUCCCCUUAGUUACCUAAUUAAUCUAAUUGCCUCCUACCAUUUUUUGACCUUUCUCUUCCCACAUAUCCCCAUUUAUUAUUUAUUACCUAAAUGGAGCAACACGGUCACCCCAAACAAAAAGCCUGCAGACAACCGAGAGAAGCCACAUGUUUGAGAAACACUCGCAUCACAUUUUCUUUGAAUCUGCAUUAUUAACAUACCUCCUUUUUUUAGAAUCUCAAACCCUGGGAGGCAAAUGUCAGAUGCAAGUGGAAGGCCAGUGACCUCAUGCUUUUCUGCAAAUACUGCUGGUUCUCCGGGGGCAGGAGGCCGACUCCAGAGGCUUCUUGCUAUUUGAUAAUCCCUCCGGACACAGCAGAACAACACGCACUAAGAGUUUGCCUGCAGGUGACUAAAACUUGACACUCCCAGAAUAGAGUCUGGCUGCCUUCUCCCUCAACACCCUCAACGCCUCCUUCAGACGCACCUUGACAUCUGCCUUCCUUUGGCUGAUUGAGAA
ensembl:lncRNA